rnacentral:rRNA from 1 species
CGUGCCAGCAGCCGCGGUAAGACGGAGGAUGCAAGUGUUAUCCGGAAUCACUGGGCGUAAAGCGUCUGUAGGUGGCUUAAUAAGUCAACUGUUAAAUCUUGAAGCUCAACUUCAAAAUCGCAGUCGAAACUAUUAGACUAGAGUAUAGUAGAGGUAAAGGGAAUUUCCAGUGGAGCGGUGAAAUGCGUAGAGAUUGGAAAGAACACCGAUGGCGAAGGCACUUUACUGGGCUAUUACUGACACUCAGAGACGAAAGCUAGGGUAGCAAAUGGGAUUAGAUACCCCAGUAGUCCUAGCCGUAAACAAUGGAUACUAGGUGUUGAACAGAUCGACCUGUGCAGUACCAAAGCUAACGCGUUAAGUAUCCCGCCUGGGAAGUAUGCACGCAAGUGUGAAACUCAAAGGAAUUGACGGGGGCCCGCACAAGCGGUGGAGCAUGUGGUUUAAUUCGAUGCAACGCGAAGAACCUUACCAGGGUUUGACAUGAUACGAAU